UAGGGAAUCUUCGGCAAUGGGGGCAACCCUGGCCGAGCAACGCCGCGUGAGUGAAGAAGGUUUUCGGAUCGUAAAGCUCUGUUGUAAGAGAAGAACGUGUGUGAGAGUGGAAAGUUCACACAGUGACGGUAACUUACCAGAAAGGGACGGCUAACUACGCGCCAG
rnacentral:rRNA from 1 species